rnacentral:ncRNA from 2 species
CUCUUAUUACGAGUGGUUGAGGGACUGGCCCUAUGACACCCGGCAACCUUUCAUUUCGAUGAAAAGGUGCUAAAUCCUGCAAGGAAUCUUUUUUCCUUGAAAAAUGAGAG